GGCGUGGCCGCGCUACGUAUCUUCGCGAGAUUUUCAAGGACGUAUCCACAGAAGAAGAUUGUGGAGCAUUAUCUAUAGAAGUCUUGAUCUUGUCACUGUCAGUUUUCUCGUUUAAUUCUUGUUGAUGCUGAAAUAUUCUGCAUCCUGCCUGAUGAUCCUUUUGAUGGACAAAAUCCAUUUUAAUGACAAAGGAAUGAAAAAAUACUAUCAUAGCAAUCGUCGUGUGUGUUUAUCUUCAUAAUUGUUCCUUAUAUCGUGUGUUAUUGUAAUAGGUUUCUUGUGUGUGUUGUCUUUGCAACUGUUGUCCUGUUUAAAUCUGCCGAGGCCGGUCCCAUGCAAGCACGAGCUGUGAAAGAAGGAGGGUUGAGAAUAGGCUACAAAAACCUACAACGUAAAACAACAUUUUGUGGCCGUAAAAACCCCACCAAAAUAAACAGUAAAACUAAAAGGAUAUAUUGCAAUUACUUAAGUGAACAUACCGUCAUUC